rnacentral:tRNA from 1 species
GUAGUGGUGGUUCAGUGGUAGAAUUCUAGCCUUCCAUGUGGGAGACCCAGGUUCGACUCCUGUCCAGUGCA